rnacentral:rRNA from 1 species
AUACGGAGGGUGCGAGCGUUAAUCGGAAUUACUGGGCGUAAAGCGUGCGCAGGUGGUUUUGUAAGUCAGAUGCGAAAUCCCCGGGCUUAACCUGGGAACUGCGUUUGAAACUGCAAGGCUAGAGUGUGGCAGAGGGGGGUGGAAUUCCGCGUGUAGCAGUGAAAUGCGUAGAUAUGUGGAGGAACACCGAUGGCGAAGGCAGCCCCCUGGGUCAACACUGACGCUCAGGCACGAAAGCAUGGGGAGCAAACAGGAUUAGAUACCCCGGUAGUCC